CUACGGGCGGCUGCAGUGAGGAAUAUUGCGCAAUGGGGGAAACCCUGACGCAGCGACGCCGCGUGGAUGAUGAAGGCCUUAGGGUCGUAAAAUCCUGUCAGGUGGGAAGAAGUGGAUAUAGAUUAAUACUCUAUUUCUUUGACGGUACCACCAAAGGAAGCACCGGCUAACUCCGUGCCAGCAGCCGCGGUAAUACGGAGGGUGCAAACGUUGUUCGGAAUUACUGGGCGUAAGGCGCGCGUAGGCGGUCUGUUAAGUCAGAUGUGAAAGCCCAUGGCUCAACCAUGGACGUGCAUUUGAUACUGACAGACUUGAGUACGGGAGGGGAUGGUGGAAUUCCCGGUGUAGAGGUGAAAUUCGUAGAUAUCGGGAGGAAUACCGGUGGCGAAGGCGACCAUCUGGCCAGAUACUGACGCUGAGGUGCGAAAGCGUGGGGAGCAAACAGGAUUAGAUACCCUUGUAGUC
rnacentral:rRNA from 1 species